AUCAACGCUUUACUGUGAUUGGUUAGGCUGUCUCAUAAACAUGGUUAUAUCAACGCUUUAUUGUGAUUGGUUAGGCUGUCUCAAACAUGGUUAUAUCAAUGCUUUAUUGUGAUUGGUUAGGCUGUCUCAUUGUUGCGAGAAUUAUGUUCUCAAUGUUCAUAAACCACUUUAAUUAAACUACUCAGUCUGCAACCCAGAAUUUGUAAGAUUCUGGUUAAAUGAAACAGACGGAGGCCCAGCUAUGAUAGUCAAAAUGUUUAUUCACGAGAGCGCUAGUCCGUUGCACAAAACCAUUCAUAUUAUACGGGCUACUUACGCACUUACAUUCACACACAGACAGUAGGUAUAAUACGCACAUACUGUAUCCCCACCCAGCCGACAAAGAUUAGGGAGACCGUGGGAAGCACUCCUUGUCCUCCCUCAAGAUUAGGGAGACCAUGGGAAGCACCCCGUGUCCUCCCUCAAGAUUAGGGAGACUGUGGGAAGCACUCCCUGUCCUCCCUCAAGAUUAGGAGGGACUUGAGAAGUACUCCCCGCCCUCUCCCAAGGCCCCUAGCAAGGUUGGCACCGAAUUUUGCUCAGACAGUCUGUGUUUUAAGAUACUAUAAAGAUAUAUUGUACAGAUAUAUUGUUUUACUCUAAUUCUGACUAAAACUACACACAUCAUUAAUUAUGCUUUUACUGACAAACUACACACAUCAUUAAUAAUAAUUUUAUGAUUCUAAUCAAUUUCAUACAAUUACAUGGUUUCAGGGUGGAAUAUUCUAAUCAUUAAUUUAAACAUAUAUAAAUUCCAUUAACACUCAUUCACAUGGCUAUAUCAAAGGCUGUCUCACUGACAGGUAAAAUAUGAACUGCAGUUUACAGACAAGAGAAGGAAAGAAGAAGAGAACAUAUAUUCUGAUGGCAGCCAAGUUGGAUGGUGGACAGGGUUAAUAAUGGUGAGUUGGAUGGUGGACAGGGUUAAUAAUGGUGAGUUGGAGGGUGGACAGGGUUAAUAAUGGUGAGUUGGAGGGUGGACAGGGUUAAUAAUGGUGAGUUGGAGGGUGGACAGGGUUAAUAAUGGUGAGUUGGAGGGUGGACAGGGUUAAUAAUGGUGAGUUGGAUGGUGGACAGGGUU